rnacentral:lncRNA from 1 species
GGAUUUGGAAUAUGAUCAUCAAAAACUGACUGAGAUAUACAAGAAAGUGAUACAGAAAAAUGAUGUAUUAAAAGAUAAGUCGGUGAUGUUGGAUAAUAGUGCAGAGGGAUUCAACAACAAUUAUAAUAAAAAAAAUAUUCAUUUCGAAGAUAUGUUUCAGCUAUCAGAGAUUUUCUUUCAGGAUAUGGAUCAGUUACGAGAAGAUAAAGA